rnacentral:lncRNA from 1 species
GGAAUCUAUCCACCAAAAAUGGUCAAAGAUGAGGAGGAGGAGGAGAGGGCACGGUGGAGGGUGGCACGAGUGAGAUGGAGGACAUAGUCAGGGUCAGCAAGGUGGAUGGUGUGGUCAAUCUAGAGAGAGACAGCAAUGAUUGAGAGGUUGAGGGAGGUGCAGAGGUGGGAGAGAGAGAGCACCAAUUGAAAAAAUCGGGGCGGUGGGGAGGUCGAGGA